AGUUGGAGUCCGCCGCCGCGGGGGCGUCCAGCGCCAUGCCGACCAGGCAGGCCACCCGGCGCGCGGGCCUGACCGCGGCCGCCCCCGCAUGCGCCCACACCGGGUGACCGCCCUGAACGGCCCCAGCAACUCGGCCUGCCCGGUUCUUUGUGUAACUCAGUCUCAACAGCAUGAAGUGAAAAGAGUGAGAUCUACUUACUUCUCCAAGGUCCUCUUAACAUCCUAGAGGAGGAAAACAAAGAAAGAAGAGACGAAGGAUUCAUUGAGACUGUGAAGGCGGCUUUGCUCUGGAGAGCAGCCUAGGAGUUUAUCACAUGAAAGAGAUCAGGAGUUUAUCCUGUGAAUAUCCUGGAAAAAUCACAUAAUCAUGCAAAACGAUUUCCCGCGACGUAGCACAAAACCCGCCAUUAAAGUGGUCACAAAGAAGUAUUAACAUGCAUCUUUUUACUUUUAGGAUUUAAGUGACAAUGCAUUUCUGAUAUCACUUUAUGUGCA